GACGAACGCUGGCGGCGUGCUUAACACAUGCAAGUCGAACGGAGUGGGGAACGGGUGAGUAAAACGUGGGGGAUCUGCAUUGCACUACGGGAUAAGCUUGGGAAACUGGGGCUAAUCCCGGAUCGUGCAAGAGGAGCACGCGGCCUAUCAGCGUGUUGGUGGGGUAAUGGCCUACCAAGGCGUCGACGUGUAGCCGGCCUGAGAGGGGGUACGGCCAUAUUGGUACUGAGAUACCGCGCAGACUCCUACGGUCGGCAGCAGUGGGGAAUAUUGCACAAUGGGCGGAAGCCUGAUGCAGCGACGCCGCGUGUGUGAUGAAGGCCUUCGGGGUGUAAACUCCUUUCGACAGGUACGCGGUACCUGUAUAAGAAGCACCGGCUAACUACGUGCCAGCAGCCGCGGUAAUAC
rnacentral:rRNA from 1 species